GCUCCGUCAUUUGGAUCCAUUAGCCCGUACAAGAGCUCGCUCCAAUACUCGCGUUAUCCACAAAAUGUAGCAGUAGAUUGAAGAUGGCAUUGCUAAGCGCGCUCCUUACAGUCUCCGUCCACAGUCUCUAGCGGCAGAUUGGAGACUGAGUUGAUAAGCGCGCUUCUCACGGUGUUCAUCCACCGUCUCUAGCGGUUGAACGAAAAUGAGUUGGGAACGAGUCCAGGCGAGCGCAUCUAGCCGCGUGUGUAGUGCGUUUGGAGUUGCGGAGAAAUGCAGGAGUCUGGAUGCGCGCGCCGCGCGUCCUUCAACAGGCAAGUUGUUGUUAGUUGUGAUUCAGGAUUCAGUUGUGAUUUAAGUCGUGAGCGCUCAUGGAAUUGAUUGUAAAGUCCACUUGUUAAAUGGCCUCACUCCAGACGAGCAUCUGCACUCAAAUUUAUUUCCAAGUAUUCUGGAAUUUCCAAGCGGCUAAUAUUCUAUGAUCUGAUUGCCCAUCCUGUAUCUGAGCAAUCAUUGGUAGAGAGUUAGCAGCAAAAUCAAAUCACCUCAAAAUUCAUCAUUUAGUGCUUCAAACAACAUUGAUAUCAAGGAAGAUUUAGUGUAGGCAACUUAAAUAAUCAUAAACAGUAACUUUCAAAGUUUGAUUUGUCCAGAUAUUAAUUUUUUCAAACGAAGAAGAAAAGUGUACUUAAGUUCAGUGUUGGAAAUGCCUAAAUAUCUGAAUCAGUAGGUAAAACCAAACUCUUCGGAAUUUAAGUUUUAAAGAAGAACUUUAUAUUUGGUGAGUCUUUUUUUAUAUAAUUUCUUAACGCAUACUCUUUCAACGCACAGAAGGACUUUGAUAAACUGUAGAAAGCAGUUUCUUUUGAUGCUCAUCAUGAAACAUCAUCUCAGCAAGUUUGAUGCCCUCUCAAGUCUUAGUUACAUAUUUGUGCUGUAUAUUACCUGAAAAUUUUGAUUUUAUGUAGUUCAAAGCCUUGAAUAUUUUCUGUCAUACUUUUUAGUGAUCUAGCUGUAUUUGUCGGCAUCAUUUAAGUGGAUCUGAAUGUCAUGAUUUAUCAUUAUAACUUAUUAAGCUUAAAUUAAAGACAUUGUGUACCUCCAUCCCCCCAAAACUGAGGGUCUCGCAGUCAAAAUCUCACGAUACUUUACACCGGUGACUAAUGAAGAGUUACUGGAGUAAGCGUUAUUCGGACUAGAUGUGGCGCAUCAAUCAAUACCUUGGUAUACAUUUUCUACAUCAAACUUCAUUCAUCUUUGUAGGGUUCUCUAUGGCAAACAUGCUCCCUUUGUGCUACCAGCUACAUGUGUCUUUCAGUGUCAUUGAUUAUCCUAGGAUGACGAAUGACAUGUGUCAUCCAUAAUCGUAGGAUGACCAAUGACAUGCGCCGUUUAAUGUCAUUCAUCAUCCUAGAAUUCCUAACGACAUGUUUUAGGAUUUUCAAUGACAUGCAUCCUUCGAUGUCAGGAUUUUCAACAAUAUAUGGAGUUGAAUGUCUUUCAAUGUCUUUGUGAGGAAUGAAGGAUAUAUCCUUGGAACGACAUCUGAUGAUAAAGUGGCAAAAGUUAUAUUUUCCUUGAGAAAGUGGUGAAGAUUCAUUGUCAGCUUCGAUGAGAUUUGAUAGCAAGUAUUUGCAGCAUCCUAUUCUGGACGUAUGUUGAGGCUCCAUCAAAUACGGCUAAAGUCAUUAAUACUGUUCUUUCGUCCGCUUUCCAAUUUUAUCGAUAAUAAUUCUUACAUCUACUUAAUAGUGCCGAUUCCGAGAGGAGACUCUUAUCAACAGGGUUGUAGAAGAAUAAUAAGUUACCAAAACCAAUGUUUUCAGAUAUGGCUAGUCUCCAGAAUUUCUUUUUUUCAUACAAAUUAUGCUUAUUACUUGUGCAAUGUGUUCCAUAAAUAAACUUUUUUAAUUAAUGAAAAAACUGAACUAGGUAAUAAAAUUUUCUCUUAAAUCUCUAGUUUGCCCUAGAGAAAAGAUCAUCUUGUACAUCAUCAAUGUACAUCUUAAAUUUAGAAACGAGUCUAUUUGGAAUGAUAUAAUGGUAAUAAAAUAUCUUUGUUGGUAUA